GAUGGAGAACGCAGCGAAAUGCGAUAAGUAAUGUGAAUUGCAGAAUUCAGUGAAUCAUCGAAUCUUUGAACGCAUCUUGCGCUCCUUGGUAUUCUGAGGAGCAUGCCUGUUUGAGUGUCAUUAAAUUCUCAACUACACUGACUUUGAAUUGGUGUGGCUUGGAUUUGGGGGGAAAAUUGUUGUGGGCUUUUUGUAUAGUCUGCUCCCCUGAAAUUGAUUAGCGGUACCUUUGUGGAACUGUCUACAGGUGUGAUAAUUAUCUACAUCUUAGACAUCUGCUGGAAUGCUGCUCUCUAAACCUUACUUGUAUUGACAAUCUUGACCUCAAAUCAGGUAGGACUACCCGCUGAACUUAAGCAUAUCAAUAAGCGGAGGA
rnacentral:misc_RNA from 1 species